rnacentral:sRNA from 1 species
GGUUCCUCGACCAAGGUCUGGACGACAACUAUUGCCGGAAUCCUGACGGCUCCGAGCGGCCAUGGUGCUACACUACGGAUCCGCAGAUCGAGCGAGAGUUCUGUGACCUCCCCCGCUGCGGGUCCGAGGCACAGCCCCGCCAAGAGGCCACAACUGUCAGCUGCUUCCGCGGGAAGGGUGAGGGCUACCGGGGCACAGCCAAUACCACCACCGCGGGCGUACCUUGCCAGCGUUGGGACGCGCAAAUCCCGCAUCAGCACCGAUUUACGCCAGAAAAAUACGCGUGCAAAGACCUUCGGGAGAACUUCUGCCGGAACCCCGACGGCUCAGAGGCGCCCUGGUGCUUCACACUGCGGCCCGGCAUGCGCGUGGCCUUUUGCUACCAGAUCCGGCGUUGUACAGACGACGUGCGGCCCCAGGGUGAGGCCCAAGCUUGGGGGAUACAGAGCCGGGGCUGGAAGCCUGGAACCGGAGGGCCGGGGCGAGGUCUCGGCCUGAUGGCUGCCCGCACCCGCCACAGACUGCUACCACGGCGCAGGGGAGCAGUACCGCGGCACGGUCAGCAAGACCCGCAAGGGUGUCCAGUGCCAGCGCUGGUCCGCUGAGACGCCGCACAAGCCGCAGUGAGUCCCUGGUGCUCCCGGCCCCGCCAGGGCCCUAACCCUGGGGCGGCAUGCUUUGGUGUCUGGGACCAGAGCCUGGAAAUGGUUGAGACUACCCUGCCACGAUUUUGCUCCC